GCGGUCGUGGUGGAAUUGGUAGACACGCUGUCUUGAGGGGGCAGUGCCGAAAGGUGUGAGAGUUCGAGUCUCUCCGACCGCACCA
rnacentral:tRNA from 1 species